rnacentral:rRNA from 1 species
AACGCGAAGAACCUUACCAAGGCUUGACAUGGACCGGACCGCCGCAGAAAUGUGGUUUCCCCUUUGGGGCCGGUGUACAGGUGGUGCAUGGCUGUCGUCAGCUCGUGUCGUGAGAUGUUGGGUUGAGUCCCGCAACGAGCGCAACCCUUGCCCCAUGUUGCCAGCGGGUUAUGCCGGGGACUCGUGGGGGACUGCCGGGGUCAACUCGGAGGAAGGUGGGGAUGACGUCAAGUCAUCAUGCCCCUUAUGCCCAGGGCUUCACACAUGCUACAAUGGCCGGUACAGAGGGUGGCGAUAUCGUGAGGUGGAGCGAAUCCCUUAAAGCCGGUCUCAGUUCGGAUCGGGGUCUGCAACUCGACCCCGUGAAGUCGGAGUCGCUAGUAAUCGCAGAUCAGCAUUGCUGCGGUGAAUACGUUCCCGGGCCUUGUACACACCGA